AAUUCUCUCUCGAUCUCGGUCUGUCUCUCUUCAGCGUCGUCCCGAAGGCCCCCGGGGCCCUCUCCCCCGCGACACCGAGCAAGCGCCGUACGCGUCGUCGAUAUGCACUGGCAAUGUGUCCCGUUUAACGUUAAAUAAUUUAGAAACGAAAAUAUCGUGUGCGUUUUUGUGUGUCGAGUACGCGUCGUCCAAAGAAACAAGAAAGACAAAAAAAAAAGAAACAAAACGUUUUCUUGUCUAAAUCGUUUGGUAAAUCCCCCAUCGGUUAGUUCGGCGAGUGUCUGUCUCUUUUGGGUUGAAAAGUGCGUUUGUUUACAUGCCUGUAUUUGGGUGACUAUAUUAUAGUGUGGUUCCGUUUGUUUUUUUCUCGUUCACCCAAGUAUUUUGGAUAUUAUCCUUCUUCCAGGCCUUUCAGUCACUUGAUUUAAAUUCCCGGCGCCACCGUCGUCGGAUCGAGUCGGGAGUAGGGAUAGUCAUCAGCUGGACCCGUCGCGACGACGUGCGUCGCUUCUCCCUUAUCCAGUCGACGUCAGGCGUCUGUUUGUUCCCGAUCGACGUCACGCGGGCGUCGCAACGCGCAUCUUCGUGUCGUUCAGAAAUUUUGAUUUAAAAAAAAAAAUUAAUUUAGAUCGGGUGAGCGGGAGUGCCAUUGGACGACGACGAUAUGUUGUGAUAACUGUACCGGUGGUUAUUUUGUGAUUAAAAAAGAGGAAUGUAAUGAUUUUUGGAUAGAAAGGGGUUGUUUUUUGUUUUUUUUUGGUUGUUGGUUGAAGAAGGAGAAGAGAAAAUGCAGGGUGUUCUUUUGGUGGCUGUGCUAACUGGAUUUGUUUGGCCGGGAUGUUUCGGUUCUUGGCAGGAGAACGUCAGGCCGAAGAUGUAUGUUCAAUUAGGUGCCGAAGAUGAUCUCCAUCGCUUCGUAGGCAACGACACCCACACGGACUACUUCAGAUUAGUGUUAAGGGAUGGGGAAUCCCUUCUGGUGGGCGGCAGAAACGUCGUCUACAAUCUGACCUUUUCCGAUUUAACGGAGCAACAAAGGCUGAUUUGGUACUCGAACGAACAUGACGCCAAAAUGUGCGUUAUGAAGGGUAAAGACGAGGAAAAAUGCCAAAAUUAUAUCCGCAUAAUGGCGAAAAGUGCCCAGGGCCGUUUAUUGCUGUGUGGAACGAACGCGUUCAAACCGGUUUGCAGGGAGUACAACGUCCUCAAUAAGAAUUACACCGCCGAAAAGGAGAAACCGGGUCAGGCGGUCUGCCCUUACGAUCCCCAUCAUAAUUCAACGGCGAUUUAUGUGGAUGGGGAUCUGUACACGGGCACCGUGGCCGAUUUUAGCGGCAUGGAUCCCAUUAUCUACAGGGAACCGCUACAAACCGAACAAUACGACUCGAUGAGCCUGAACGCUCCCGACUUCGUUGGAUCGAUGACCCAGGGAGACUUCGUGUACUUUUUUUUCCGAGAGACCGCCGUGGAAUACAUCAAUUGCGGCAAGGCGGUUUUCUCGAGGGUGGCCCGUGUAUGUAAAAACGACAGGGGCGGCCCACACAGGUUCAGAAAUCGAUGGACCUCCUUCCUGAAAUCCCGACUAAACUGCUCGGUCACCGGUGAAUUUCCGUUCUACUUUAACGAAAUACAAUCCACGACGGAACUGAUCGAAGGCAAAUACGGCGACGUGUCGGCCCAAUUGAUCUACGGCACCUUCACCACCCCCUCGAACAGCAUCUCGGGGAGCGCGGUGUGCGCCUUCAGUCUCCAAGACAUCACCAGCUCGUUCGAGGGCAAUUUCAAGGAACAGGCGGCCAUCAACACCAACUGGUUGCCGGUACCGAGCAACAAAGUGCCGGACCCGAGACCCGGACAGUGCCAUAACGACAGCAGAACCUUGCCGGACUUAACGUUAAACUUUAUCAAGUCCCACUCGUUGAUGGACGAGAGCGUACCGUCCUUUUUUGGGCAACCGAUCGUUAUUCGCUCGAGUUUUCACUAUCGGUUUACCCAAAUAGCCGUCGACCCCCAAGUGAAAGUACCGGGAGGGAAGACCUACGACGUCCUUUUUAUUGGCACAGAUAAUGGGAAAAUAAUCAAAGCGGUGAACGGAAUGUCGGCGGAGACCCGUCACGGGGUCCGCACGGUCGUGGUGGAGGAGAUCCAGGUGUUCCCGGUCCACGUGCCCGUUCGCAGUAUAAAAAUCAUGAGAUCCAACGGGGCGGGCAAAGGGGGCGGCGGCGAGGGGGGCGGCCGAUUAAUCGUCGUCUCGGACAGCGAGGUGCAAUCGCUCCGGUUGCACCGCUGCGACAGCAAUAAAAUCUCGAGCUGCAGUGAAUGUGUGGCCCUCCAAGAUCCCUACUGCGCGUGGGACAAAGUCCAGGGCAAAUGUCGUUCCAGAGGUUCCGGGAGAUGGGGCGAGGAGAGUUACUUCUUCCAGAGUGUGUCCACGGGGGAGCACACCGCCUGUCCGCCAUUAAAAAGCAAAGAUGCCGGUUACGUGGGCGGUUUGAGCUCGAAUCAGCCCAAAUUCAACGAGCACAUGCCCAAUAAGGACCAGCCCGACGGUCAAAUAAUUAAUAUUAUGCAGGAUAAACCUAAUGAGAAUAUUGGUCCGUCAGUGACAGCUACUGACGCUUUAGUAAACCAGUACACGGUGGAAACGCUCAUCAUGGCAGUGGUGGCGGGUGCAGUUUCCGCCCUCGUCGUCGGAUUUAUCGCCGGGUAUCUUUGCGGCAGGAAGUGCCAUAAGGAUGAAGACGAUAAUUUACCGUAUCCGGAUACGGAGUACGAGUAUUUUGAGCAGCGGCAGAAUAUGAACAGUCGCAUCACGGCCGAACCGAAACUGCUGCCGCAAGAAGAGGUGACGUACGCGGAGCCGGUACUCGUGCCGCAACCGCCCCCAAAAAACUACUCGCCGAAGAGUACCCUGCGCAAGGGGGCCGGGGGCGGGCCGGGGCUCCAGAACAACGCCGAGACCCUGUUCCAGUUUCAGGCGGACGGCGGGUACAACGGCCGCGGGGACGCUUUUAGGGGACGAGACAAUUUCGGCACCCUCCGGUCUCAUCAGGGCGACCAGUUCCGUCGACCGGACGGAUUCGCGACCACGCGCAGCGUAAAGAAAGUCUAUCUCUGAGAAAACAGUAGCGAGGAGGGCGCCGGAGGAGGCGUCCGCCGCGGCGGUAACCAGACGGCGCCGCCUCCUCACCACCAUCACCACCUGCACGCCGCCGCCGCCGCCGCCGCCGCCCCUCACCAUCACCGGUUGCCGACCAACGGCAGCGGCGGCUCCUCGAGCAGCCCCUCGCCGCCCUCCUCGUCGCCCAGCCCCUCACCGCCCCACACCGCCUCGUUCAUUUAUCGCGCUUAGCCUCCGGUGAGGAGCCUCUCCUCCUCGUCCUCCGGACCUUAUUGGAGCUAUUGGCGAUUGUAUUAAUAAUUGUAGGUGAGGACGGUUUGGGUGGGUAAGAUUUUUUUUUCGAUCGAUAAUGGCAACUAUUGUUCUUAUUACUACUACUACUACUACAGUACUGCUGUUGUUGGUUGGAGGUUCGUUGCUGGCCACUAUCUGUUUUUAGGGCACUAAUUCGGGUCGAAUUUUACCGUGAAAAGGAAAAAACCUUUCUUUCGUGUACCUAUUGUCUUCCAAUUAAAUCUACUAUAAAUGUGAAAGCAUUUUCUGUUACCUAUAUGUUGAAUCCAAGGUGAAGAGACCCGAAUUAGUAAACGAGAUCCCUGCAGCAGCGCCGUCUCUUGUCAUUUCAACCAACUUAAGUGACAAGUGACUUACUUACAACCAAAAUAAAAAAACCGUAGGCUAUUAUAGGUUUAGGAUGAUAAUUUUCAAAUUUCGAGAGUUAGAGGGACGUAGGGAUCUAGUGUUAGUAACGUGGGAUGAUUCGUCAAAAAAAAAAUGGCACUAAUUGGAUGACGCUGUCACUUGUCAUGUUUUUGCAGUGACAUUUGGGGGAUUUUUUUAAAUAAAUAUAUAUCUGUUAGCGUUGUAACCCCAAUUUUGACGUUGAACUAAAUGUUGCAACAUUGGCUUCUAUUAGUGACAACAAGUUAACUCCAACUUGGCAACGUUGGAACAUUCAUUGACAAAUGACAUUUAAAUUUGGUUAUGUUAUAGUCUUUGUAUAUGUCAUGAGCUGAGGUAAUUUCUGUGGUAUAUUAUUGACAACAAAUUAACUCCAACUUGGCAACGUUGACAUUCAUUGACAAAUGAAAUUUAAAUAUGGUUUUGUGUGUGUCAUGGGCUGAAGCAUAGAUAUUUGCUUAAUUAAAUCUGACUCUAGUCCUGUCUUUGAGCAUUUUAAACUGUCCAAGUGACAGAUAGAUAAUGUAACUAACGUCACUUGUCAGUUGUCACAUGGACAGGGUCGGACCGAAAAUAUUAAAAGCAGUGUUGCCAUUUGCGAUUUAAAUUUAUUCACUUAAAGAAUUGAAAAGUUGAUUUAAAUGUGGCAUCGUUGGCUUCUGUCAUUGACAAAUGGCAGUCGGACCUUCAAGUUUUGACUACCAUAUCAUUUGUCACAUAAUUAAUAUUUAUUUGCAUUAGCAUAUUUUUUAUGUGUCAUGGAAUAAAGUUUAAUAAUUUUCGAAAAUAUCUAAAUUAUAGAAUUUAUGCAUAAAUGUUUGGUUAUUUGAAUCUCACUCCGCUCCUGUCUUGAAUAGAUUUAACUGUCCAAGUGACAGAUAGACAAUGUACUUAAUGUCACUUGUCAGUUCUAACAAGGUCGGAUCUAAAAUAUCGAAUGCAGAGUUGCUGUUUGCUGGCCCUGUCAUUUGUCAAAUAAAUAAUUGACAAGUGACAUUUAAAUGAUAUUCUUGUUAUAUGUCAUGGGCUGAAUCUAAUUUGGAUUCUAAAAGUUACAGACUUGAUUUUAUAAUUAUUGGUCAUUUAUUUGGCAACGUUGCAAAGCCAUUGUUGCCGCUUAGUAUGCCAACAAUUUUGUAGAUGCUCGUUUCCGAAAAUAGAUGCGAUAAGUCUCCAUUUUAAUUUGUUUUUUGACCUGCAGUCCUACAUCACUCUAGGGUGAGAAUAAUCUGAAACAAUUCAUCAACUAAACUUGGCAACGUUGGUUUUUUUAUAUAGCGAACCUAUCAGUCAGUUUUUUGUAUAUAUAGUUCUAAAUUAAAUUUACAAAUGGCGCAACCUAAUCGUAUGCUAUGCGCAUACAAAGUAUCACUCUAUUUCCGGAUAAUAAUUGUAAAAAUGACAUAUACUAUUUAUUUUGAUAAAUAGCGAACUUCUUGGCAACGUUGGCGUUUUCAUUAAGCGAACUUAUCAAUCAGUUUUUUUGACAAAUGACAGUUUUCAUUACUUGACCUGUCAUUGGUCAAAAAGUGGCAAUACAUGAGGGCAAAUGACAUUCCUUAAUUUAGAGAGACUUGGCAACUGUGGCUCUUGUCACUUGUCAAUUCGUUUUUGUUUUUGACAAAUAAUGUUGGCUAGUUCACUUAAUAUAUCUCAGUACGCAAUAAAAACUUCAUAGGCGUACCUGGAAUAGUUUCUUAAUUAUCUCGCUUGAAAGUUGAUAUAACCAUCUAAGUUGGCCACUUUUAUAACCUUAGAUCCUGGGUCACAAAUUCCACUCUAACUAAGAGAGUUUUUAAGCUACAAGAGUCGUUUAUAUACGUAAUUAAUGUAUAAAGAAGGCUUUAACAUUCAACGAAAACUUCAUAGGAGUGCCUGGAAUAGUUUCUUAAUUAUCUCGCUUGAAAGUUGAUAUAACCCUCGAAAAUUACCACUGUUAGAGCCUUAGAUCCUGGGUCACAAAUUCCAUUCUAACUAAGAGAGUUUUUAAGCUACAAAAGUCGUUUAUAUACGUACUUAAUGUGUAAAGGAGACUUUAGCACUCAACGAAGACUUCAUAGGUGUGCCUGAAACAGUCCGUAACCGACUUGACAACGUUGGCAACUUAAUAUAGCAGCUCAGGUCACUUUUCAACGAACUUAUUCCUUCUUGACAAAUGACAGUUGAUUAUGUGGUAACUUCUAAACUUGACAACGUUGGAGUAUUUUUUUUUUGACAAAUGACAGUCUGAUUAACCUCACUUUGGUUGCCGUUUUUUUGACGAUCGUCUCGCAAAACAUUUAAAAAAAAAACUGUUAGACCUUUCGGGUUGGCGGUAGGCGAGCCCGAAACGACGUAAUCUCAAAAUGAAAAAAAAAUGAUAUAAAACAAAUAAGUGCUUCUUAUUGAUGUGUUAGAUAAGGAUAAAAAAAAAACCACAUAAGGAUAGAUUGUUAUAAUUUUAGCGAACAUUGUGAUUAGAUUGUAACAUAUAACGAUAUGAUAUUCUUAUAAAUUUAUUAUUGUAGGGAUGGUAUUUGUUUUGUUAUGAUUUACGUGCUUCUACCUAACCUAACAUUAGAAAUUGUGCGUUUUUGCUCAUAUGCGCCCGCACUAACAAAACCCGUUGUUAGUCCGGGGGAGUAUAUUAAAAAAAAAUAGUUUCUUUACUAUCAUUUGCGUCUAGUACUGUACAUAAGACUGAGGAAAAUACUCCAUUAAGUCCACUGUUAGUAUAAUAAACGUUAUUGUUUCGGGUUAUAGCGUAACAGUACAAAAUUCCUAAAAUCUUUUUUAGGUUCUGUUGCUAAAUGCGAUUAAUCUGCUCAAUUUUAGUUGUUCUGCAAAGCACUAAAAUGUCAAUUAUUUGGUAUUUCAUCGUGCGUCGAGGCUUUUUUGAUCUAUAAAUAUUUUUUUUGAGUCACUCUAUAACGUUAUAGCCACAUAGAUGCUUCCAUGACUAAAAUAUAAUUAUAUCACCCUGUAUAUUCUAUAAUGUAACGAAACUCAUCUACUGUAUAAAUCUAGGAUUGUUAACGAUGAUGCUACUUUGACACGAUCUCCAUUUUGUUUUUGAAUACCAAAUAUUUUUUUUUGUAAUUUUUAGGACUAAGUAGAGUUUUAUAUUUUGUUUGUUUGUUUUAUUUUUAUUUUUUUCUAGUACGUUUAGUUGGCAGAAAGAAUGAGGUUAUUCCCGGCAGGUGGGUAACAAAUAAAUGAAAAUAUUGAGGUUAUGUCAUUUGAUUUGUUAGUGACAGCUGUCCACGCUGCCAUAGGUUCGCAUUUUUGACAGCUGUCACUUGGAAAAUUAAUGACGUAAGUCAAAAUGGAGGAUAUUAUACGCAGGGUGGCCAUUUAGUGUUUUUUUCCAAAAAAAUCUUUCUUUUCUUUUUUUUGUAUUUACAUAUUCCUGGCUCUCCUUUUAAUAAGAAUUUUCUAAUUCUUCGGAGGAUCCUUGAUUACUAUGUCGCGUUGCCAGCUUGUAACGAUUUUGCAACAGUGGCAACGUCGAAUAAAAUAAAAUGUGUCAACUGUCAAACGUCAACAAAAUUUAAUGCUAACCUAAAAAUUUGACAUUGAUAUGCACAUUGAAAGUUUUCCUUGAUUUUUUCAUUUCAUUUAUUACGAAUGACUAAAUGGAAUUUAAUUCUACCUUUGGAUACAUUUUUAUAUAAUUCAAGGACUAAUGGUGACAGUGGCAACGUCGCACCUAAUCCAUAUAACCUAAAAGUCUGUCAACUGUCAAACGUCAAAAAAAGACUAAACACUGAUGACUAUAUUGGCAACGUUAUACCGUAUCAUCAAACUGUAAAAAAAAAUUGAAUCCUAACCUAAAGUUUGACACAGAAUUCAAUUCAAGGGAGGAAGUGAGAAAGGUAUGUCAAAGAACCUAAAAUGUCGUCUUUUUUAAAUACACUAUAACUGGCCACCCUGUAUAUAAAAAAAUGUCAUACAGACUUUACGGGGUUGCCACUUUGUAUGGAAACUGUCUUUACCCUAAAAUAUACGAGGUAAAAAACGUGGAAAAUUACCUAUAAUACCAGGUGAAUCAGAAAGUAUAAACGACAUUUAAAGGUUAUGUCAAUUGAUCAGGUAGUAUUUUGAGGUUAUGUCAAUUCUUUAAUUUUUUUAAGGGUUGUUGCCUAUGCAGCUUUUAUUGGGUGAGUCCAUGUUGAAAAACCUGAAUAUAUAUGUUUUUUUCAAAUAAUAACCUUGACGUUAUUCGAUUUUUUAAUCAUCUAAUAGUUUGAGGUUAUGUAAGAUUUUCAAUUAAACGAUUUUCUUAAUAGCCAUGACGUCAUGAAUAAUUUAACAUUUUGAGGUUAUAUAUUAAGUGUAAGAAAACUCUAACGUCAUCAGACUACUUUAAUCAUGUAGUAUUUUGAGGUUAUAUAAUUUUUAACCAUUUGCUCAGCCGUGACGUCAUAGAUCACGUAAUAUUUUGAGGUUAUGUCAAUUUUUUAGUUCUUUAAAGAUUGUUGCUAAUACAGGAUAGAGUGAGUGGAAUAAAAAGUAAAAAACAAUUUUAAAAAAUAUAAAAUUUUAUUAAAUAACAACCUUGACGUCAUCAGAUUAUUGUAAUAGUUUGAUACCAUUCUCUCAGCAGUAGUGACGUCAUAGAACAUUUUGAGGUUAUGGUUGAGUUUUUUUUAAGGGUUGUGACUACUACAGGACUGAUUGGGUGGGCUAAGAAACCUUAAAAAAAAACAAAAUUCUAUUAAAUGACAACCCUGACGUCAACCAACUCUUACACACGUAAUAGUUUAAGGUUAUGUUAUUUUUUAAAAUUUUAAACCGUUUUCUCUUUGAAAUUUGAGGUUAUAUCAUUUUUGUAAUUUUUUUAAGGGUUAUGGUCUUCUAAGGUAUGAUUGAGAUGAAAAAACAUCAUAAAAUACAUAAUUUUGCCAAAUAACAACUAUGACGUCGUCAGACUUUUUAGUCACGUAAUAUUUAGAGGUUAUGUAACGUUUUCUAAUUUUUUUGACAGCUUUCCCAACAGCCGUGACGUCAUAAAGCGUGUAAUAGUUUGAGGUUAUGCCAAUUUUUGGCUUUUCUAAUCGUUGUUGCUAAGACAGGAUUCAAUGGGUGGGAUAAAGCGUAAAAAAAAAUUAAGUAACAACUUUGACGUCAUCAUCCGAUUGUUGUAACAUUUUGAGGUUAUGUUAUUUUUUCCAAUUUAACCGUUUUCUCAAUAGCCGUGAAAUUAUGUAAAAUUUGGAGGUUAUGUUUUUGGUUUUUUAAAACGUUGUUGCCAAUUGGGUGGGUGGAGCAAAUAUUAAAAAACCUUAAAAAAAAUAUUAAAAAUUUUAUGAAAUAGCAACUCUGACGUCAUCAAACUCUUUAAUCAUGUUAUAGUUUUAGGUUAUGUAAUUUUUUCAAUUUUUUACCAACAGCCGUGACGUCAUAAAUCAUGCAAUAUUUUAAGGUUAUGUCAAAUUUUGGGUUCUUUAAGAGCUAAUUUGAUCAAAUAACAACCCUGACGUCAUCAGGCUCUCUAGUCAUGUAAUAGUUUGCGGUUAUGUUAUUGUUGGCCACGACAGCCAUGACGUCAUAGAUCAUGUGUUUUGAGGUUAUAUAAUGUUUUCUAAUUUUUUGACCGCUUUCUCAACAGCCGUGACGUCAUAAAUCAUGUAAUAGUUUGAGGUUAUGUCAAUUUUUGGCUUUUCUAACCGUUGUUGCUAAGACAUAAUUAAAUAGUUGAGCCAAAGAGUGAAAAACAUUAAAAAAAAACAAAAUGUUAUUAAAUAACAACUUUGACGUCAUCAUCAGAUUGUUGUAACUUUUGAGGUUAUGUCAAUUUUUGGGUUUUUUAAGAGCUAUUUCCAAUGCUAAUUCGAUCAAAUAACAACCCUGACGUCAUCAGGCUCUCUUGUCAUGUGAUAGUUUGAGGUUAUGUUAUUUUUGUCCACUUUUUAAUUGUUUUCUCAACAGCCGUGACGUCACAGAACAUGUAAUAUUUUGAGGUUAUGCCAAUUUUUGGCUUUUCUAACCGUUGUUGCUAAAACAGAAUUAAAUAGUUGAGCCAAAGAGUAAAAAACAUAGAAAAAAACAAAAUGUUAUUAAAUAACAACUUUGACGUCAUCAUCAGAUUGUUGUAACAUUUUGAGGUUAUGUCAAUUUUUGGGUUUUUUAAGAGCUAUUUCCAAUGCUAAUUUGACAUAUACCUAUUAUUCCUAUACUAAAGGUAUCCUAUACCGCACAUGAGAGGCGUAUGAAGCGAACAAUUUUGAGACAGAGAUAUGAUUCUCGCAUAAGUCCGUCUCUACCUCGGCCAUUGUCCCACUGCGUAUGCGCCAAAUAUCGUGCUGUUAUUGGUCAGUUUCUCGAACCGCUAUCAAAUUUAAAUUAAAUGAAAUUGGCGCGCUAAAUUCGGCUGAAUCCCCCUCUCUGCUCACUCCAUAAACGGAUCAAUAUAUUUAAGCAUGCGCAUAAAAAAAUGGUCGAGGUAGAGACAGAUUUAUGCGACUAUCAUAUCUCUGUCUCAAAAAUGUUUGCUUCACGAUCUGGCCGUAAUCGGUCGUAUAGGAAUAAUAGUUAUAUGUAAUUUGAUCAAAUAACAACCCUGACGUCAUCAGGCUCUCUAGUCAUCUAAUAGUUUGAGGUUAUGUUAUUUUUGUCCACUACAGCCAUGACGUCAUAAAUCAAUCAUGUGUUUUGAGGUUAUGUAAAGUUAUUUCAAUGUCUAUAGAAACUGUGACAUGGUAAUAUUCGUGUUCAACACUUUAAGGUUAUGUUAUUUUUUUGCACAUUGUUUGUUUAUUUCUAAAGCUCGUCUGUCCCC
rnacentral:misc_RNA from 1 species